rnacentral:rRNA from 1 species
UUAGAGUUUGAUCCUGGCUCAGCGCGAACGCUGGCGGCGUGCCUAACACAUGCAAGUCGUGCGGAGGGGUGAUGAGCCCCUCAGCGGCAAACGGGUGAGUAACACGUGAGUAACCUGCCCUUGGGAAGGGGAUAACCCUCCGAAAGGAGGGCUAAUACCCUAUACUGCCGAGGACCACUAAGGUCUUCCGGUGAAAGGUGGCCUCUGCUCUGCAUGCUACAGCCCAAGGAGGGGCUCGCGGUCCAUCAGGUAGUUGGUGGGGUAACGGCCUACCAAGCCUAUGACGGGUAGCCGGCCUGAGAGGGUGGUCGGCCACAGUGGGACUGAGACACGGCCCACACCCCUACGGGGGGCAGCAGUGGGGAAUCGUGGGCAAUGGGCGAAAGCCUGACCCCGCGACGCCGCGUGGAGGAAGAAGCCCUUCGGGGUGUAAACUCCUGUCGGGGGGGACGAUGUGUCUUGGGGUGAAUAAUCCCAGGGCAUGACGGUACCCCCAGAGGAAGGGACGGCUAACUACGUGCCAGCAGCCGCGGUAAUACGUAGGUCCCGAGCGUUGCGCGAAUUCACUGGGCGUAAAGCGUCCGCAGCCGGACGGGUAAGCGGUGCGUCAAAGCCCACCGCCCAACGGUGGAACGGCGUACCGAACUGCCUGUCUUGAGG